GUGGGGAAUCUUAGACAAUGGGGGCAACCCUGAUCUAGCCAUGCCGCGUGAGUGAUGAAGGCCUUAGGGUCGUAAAGCUCUUUCGCCGGGGAAGAUAAUGACGGUACCCGGUAAAGAAACCCCGGCUAACUCCGUGCCAGCAGCCGCGGUAAUACGGAGGGGGUUAGCGUUGUUCGGAAUUACUGGGCGUAAAGCGCGCGUAGGCGGAUCGGAAAGUUGGGGGUGAAAUCCCGGGGCUCAACCCCGGAAUUGCCUUCAAAACUCCCGGUCUUGAGGUCGCGAGAGGUGAGUGGAAUUCCGAGUGUAGAGGUGAAAUUCGUAGAUAUUCGGAGGAACACCAGUGGCGAAGGCGGCUCACUGGCUCGAUACUGACGCUGAGGUGCGAAAGCGUGGGGAGCAAACAGGAUUAGAAACCCCGGUAGUCC
rnacentral:rRNA from 1 species